UACGUAGGGUCCGAGCGUUGUCCGGAAUUACUGGGCGUAAAGAGCUCGUAGGUGGUUUGUCGCGUUGUUCGUGAAAACUCAACAGCUCAACUGUGGGCGUGCGGGCGAUACGGGCAGACUUGAGUACUGCAGGGGAGACUGGAAUUCCUGGUGUAGCGGUGGAAUGCGCAGAUAUCAGGAGGAACACCGGUGGCGAAGGC
rnacentral:rRNA from 1 species